rfam:Dictyostelium purpureum unplaced genomic scaffold DICPTscaffold_28, whole genome shotgun sequence.
AUAAAGGUGUUUUUUAACACCACUCAUACCUAUAAGUUAAAUACUU